GAGUCUUCUAGAUGUAAGAUAAUUGCGCAACAUGUUAAUAUCUUUACGUAAUCCUGACAUGUGGGCCUUUCUUCCAUAUUUCCUGAUAACCCCCUGCAGAAAUAGACAAACACCAAAACUCGUGGAAUUCUGUCAGAUAAAACCCUAAGUCUAGAUCUUGAUUUUAUUUGGAUCCUUUUCUUUAUUUAUUUGAUAAUUAAAUUUGAUACUUAAGGACCGUCAACAAACUCCCCCAAGCUUACCUCUUGCUCGUCCCUGAGCAAGGAUAGACUCAGCUAUGGACCAGAAGUAGUUGCAAUAUCUUUUAAAAAUUUGACGGUACACAUGCUUUUAAAUAAGAUCUCAUCUCUAACUUAGAGUAAACUGUCAAGACUUAAAACUUACUUACUUUACCUCCACCAUGGGACUUGUAACCGUCACUUCUGUCUUGAGUGGUUAAAAGAUAGAAUAAUCUAGCCAAGUGCCAUGUCUCUUAUUCUUGAUCAGCUAUAGCUCUGGGGUUUUUGCAGAUUUUCAAAUAAAACUCAGAGAUUCCUUGUAUGAUUCUCUCAGGUCUCUCUUUUGUGGUAUUUUUGGAUCCUUACCAAGGCAGUGAUGGCAUAUGCCUUCUCUCAAGAUAUGUGGUAUUUGUGGUAUGAGGCAUAGUGACAUUGCCUUUUCUCUCACCCUACUCUAAUAAGGCUUUAAUAUCUGGAGCUCAUAGGUGGGAGAUAAAGUAUACAUACUUACAAGACAUUUAUUGCAUAGUCAACCCAUGGAUCCAAAGUAACAAGUCAAUAAGUUUAAUCAAGAUGUGCAUGUGUGGCGAAUGAAUGGUGUAUGGUGAUGAUGGUGAUAACAAUGAUGAAAACAAUGGUGGUGGAAGUCUAAUUCUACUUUUGCUCUUUGAGGGGAUACAUACCUUCCUUGCUUUUGAAACUUUAUGAGGAGAAUGAGAUGCUCUUCUUUUUCUUUUCUCUCAGGUGGGUAUCUUGCACCCCUAAUUCUACUGUCGGACACUUGUCCAUUUUUACCUCUCGUCUCACUUUUUCUUUUCUUUCGAGGUUCCGAGCACUUGCUCCUUUUUAUUUCCUCGUAUUAUUCCCUUUUUUUUAGAGCAUUCAUCUCUUGAGAUAAUAUAGCAAGUGGUAGUAACAAGAUAUCUUGAGCAUUUAUUUUACAAGGGGAAAACAGAAAUAUUUUUGGUUAUUCUCUCCCGGAUUAGGUAGUAGAAUAUUUUUAGGUGGUUCUGGAGAUGGAAUGGGUAGAUAUAUGUGGAUGGUACUUCCGGAGUACAAGUAGCAUAUAUGAGUGAACGUGCAAGUGAAAUCUUGAUUUAACCACAUGACAAGCUCCUAAGGGUCUACACAGCUUGACCACACUCAAUGCUCAUAAGCAGUAAAUAAUAAAUGUGUGGCUCAAAGUCUAACAAGCAUG
rnacentral:lncRNA from 1 species